GAUGAAGAACGCAGCGAAAUGCGAUAACUAAUGUGAAUUGCAGAAUUCCGUGAAUCAUCGAGUCUUUGAACGCACAUUGCGCCCCCUGGUAUUCCGGGGGGCAUGCCUGUCCGAGCGUCAUUGCUGCCCAUCAAGCACGGCUUGUGUGUUGGGUCCCGUCCCCCUCUCCCGGGGGACGGACCCGAAAGGCAGCGGCGGCACUGCGUCCGGUCCUCGAGCGUAUGGGGCUUUGUCACCCGCUCUUGUAGGCCCGGCCGGCGCUUGCCGACACCCAACCAUUUUUUUCAGGUUGACCUCGGAUCAGGUAGGGAUACCCGCUGAACUUAAGCAUAUCAAUAAGCGGAGGA
rnacentral:misc_RNA from 1 species